rnacentral:lncRNA from 1 species
UCAAAGAAAAAGUAAAUGUAUGUAUGAAUAUAAUAGGUGAAAUGUAACAUUAAAUUAAGAUACGAUUAUUGAAUAUGGAAUAUAAAUGAAUGGGACUAAAUAUAAUAAUGAAAAGCAUAUGUUCAAAAAAAAAGAAAAGAAGGAAAACAAAAAAAAUAUUUUUUUUUUUGUUGGCUAGUGUACUUUUCGUUUUAGUUUCUCCAUGUAAGCAACUGCAUGGAAUGCAUGGCGUGCACAAAUUACAAUAGCAGCAAAAGCAACAAAGCUCUGGCGCUAGUGCAUAAACUUUUAUGCGCUGGUCGGUUCGUCUAGCGGGAAGAACGCACCAAAAGGGAACAAAAAAAAUUUGAUCUUUUAUCACUCACAGUUUGGUAUGCAUGUAUGUAUGCUUACAGUACUCCCUCGCUGAAAGGCCUUUCGCUGGGGUUUUGAAGAAGCUGUGGAAUAUAUUAAUUAUGGUUCCCUGUUGGCUUUGGCCGACUGCACGUUAUAGUUCAAUAUUUUUUUUUUCUCUUACAAACUUCUUUUUCCUUUCUUUCUUCUUUCACUAAUGUCACAUAAUUAAGGGGGAAUUAAAGGUCGUUAAAUCAAAUAGAAUAUAAUAAUAGAAAAGAGUAUUAGCAUUAACAAAAUUUAAAUUUAAUUAAUUAUUAAAAUAAAAGACAGUGCUUUAGGCUUUGAUUGCAGCCUAAGAUAUAAUGGUGGCCCUCUUAGCGGUACGACACUGUCGGCUGUGGCGCCUGCGCAGAGGUUACUGCAAGGUUACGUCAUGGUCAUUGUGAAGUUACAUCAUGGCUAUGGUGUUACAUAGGUUCUGGAGCCGGGCUUCCACCGGUCUCCCAAGAAAAAUUCCCCACCCCUCAGCGUAUUGCCAACAAAACGUCAAUG